GGUGGGGAACCGCCUGAACUGAAACAUCUAAGUAGGGCGAGGAAGAGAAAUCAACCGAGAUUCCGCUAGUAGUGGCGAGCGAACGCGGAAGAGGCCAAACCGGAGGUAGCAAUAUUUCCGGGGUUAGGACUGCAAUAUGUAACUUUAAUCUUUAACUGAAUGCUUUGGGAAGAGCAGCGAUACAGGGUGAUAGCCCCGUAAGUGAAAAGGAUUGAGUGCUAGCAGUAUCCAGAGUACCAGCGGACACGUGAAACCCGCUGGGAAGAUGGGGGGACCAUCCUCCAAGCCUAAAUACUACUCAGUGACCGAUAGUGGAGCAGUACCGUGAGGGAAAGGUGAAAAGUACCCCGGGAGGGGAGUGAAAAAGAACCUGAAACCUUGUGCCUACAAGCACCGAGAGCACGUUAAAGUGUGAUCGGGUACUUUUUGUAGAACGGUCCGGCGAGUUAAUAUUUGCAGCGAGGUUAAGGAACUGGAGUUCCGGAGCCGCAGCGAGAGCGAGUCUGAAAAGGGCGUAUGAAGUUGCAGGUAUUAGACCCGAAACCGGGUGACCUAUCCAUGAGCAGGCUGAAGCGGUGGUAAGACACCGUGGAGGGCCGCACCCACGUCUGUUGAAAAAGCCGGGGAUGACUUGUGGAUAGCGGAGAAAUUCCAAUCGAACUCGGAGAUAGCUGGUUCUCCCCGAAAUAGCUUUAGGGCUAGCGUUAUUUUAGAUUACCGGAGGUAAAGCACUGAAUGGUCUAGGGGCCGCGAGGUUACCAAAGCCUAUCAAACUCUGAAUGCCGGAUAAUUGAUGAAUAGCAGUCAGACUGUGUGAGAUAAGUCUCAUAGUCAAAAGGGAAACAGCCCAGAUCUACAGCUAAGGUCCCAAAUGAACACUAAGUGGAAAAUGAUGUGAAACUGCGAAGACAACCAGGAUGUUGGCUUAGAAGCAGCCACUCAUUCAAAGAGUGCGUAAUAGCUCACUGGUCGAGUGGUUUUGCGCAGAAAAUGUAACGGGGCUAAGUGUUCAACCGAAGCUUAGGCAUUGCAGUAAUGCAUUGGGUAGGGGAGCGUCGUAUGCGGGGUGAAGUCAGAGCGGAAGCACUGGUGGACUGCAUACGAGUGAGAAUGCCGGAAUAAGUAGCGAGAAUUAUGUGAGAAUCAUAAUGGCCGAAAAUCUAAGGUUUCUUGGGGAAGGUUCGUCCGCCCAAGGUUAGUCGGGAGCUAAGCUCAGGCCGAAAGGCGUAGGCGAUGCACAUACGGUAGAAAUUCCGUAACCACCGAACAUUUAAGCUAGAGGGACGCUUUCUUUAAGUCUAUCCCGGGCGAUGGUUGCCCCGGGCGUAAGGGACCGAAAUAUAGUAGGGAAGUAGAUGGCGAGAGAGACGAGAAAAGCUCUAGUGUAUACUAAGGUGCCCGUACCGCAAACCGACACAGGUAGAUGGGAUGAGUAUUCUAAGGCCAACGGGAGAAGGGUUGUUAAGGAACUCGGCAAAUUGGCCCCGUAACUUCGGGAUAAGGGGCGCCUGCGAGAGCAGGCCGCAGUGAAAAGGCCCAAGCGACUGUUUAGCAAAAACACAGCUCUCUGCUAAAUCGAAAGAUGACGUAUAGGGGGUGACGCCUGCCCGGUGCUGGAAGGUUAAGGGGAGUGCUUAGCGCAAGCGAAGGUGCGAACUUAAGCCCCAGUAAACGGCGGCCGUAACUAUAACGGUCCUAAGGUAGCGAAAUUCCUUGUCAGGUAAGUUCUGACCCGCACGAAUGGCGUAACGAUUUGGGCACUGUCUCAACAGCCCGCCCGGCGAAAUUGUAGUACCGGUGAAGAUGCCGGUUUCCCGCAACUAGACGGAAAGACCCCAUGGAGCUUCACUGUAGCUUGAUAUUGGAUCUCGGUAUUCCAUGUACAGGAUAGGUGGGAGACUUGGAAGUAAGCGCGCCAGCGUUUAUGGAGUCAACCUUGGGAUACCACUCUUGGGAUAUUGGGAUUCUAACCUGCGACCAUGAAUCUGGUCGGGGGACACUGUCAGGUGGGCAGUUUGACUGGGGCGGUCGCCUCCAAAAGAGUAACGGAGGCGCUCAAAGGUUCGUUCAGCACGGAUGGAAAUCGUGCACUGAGUGUAAACGCAUAAACGAGCCUAACUGCGAGAAUGACGGUUCGAGCAGUAACGAAAGUUGGAGUUAGUGAUCCGGCGGUAUGUGAAUGGAAAUGCCGUCGCUCAACGGAUAAAAGCUACCCUGGGGAUAACAGGCUGAUCUCCCCCA
rnacentral:rRNA from 1 species